rnacentral:rRNA from 1 species
GAUGAACGCUGGCGGCGUGCCUAAUACAUGCAAGUCGAGCGAACAGACGAGGAGCUUGCUCCUCUGACGUUAGCGGCGGACGGGUGAGUAACACGUGGAUAACCUACCUAUAAGACUGGGAUAACUUCGGGAAACCGGAGCUAAUACCGGAUAACCUGUUGAACCGCAUGGUUCAACAGUGAAAGACGGUCUUGCUGUCACUUAUAGAUGGAUCCGCGCCGCAUUAGCUAGUUGGUAAGGUAACGGCUUACCAAGGCAACGAUGCGUAGCCGACCUGAGAGGGUGAUCGGCCACACUGGAACUGAGACACGGUCCAGACUCCUACGGGAGGCAGCAGUAGGGAACCUUCCGCAAUGGGCGAAAGCCUGACGGAGCAACGCCGCGUGAGUGAAGAAGGUCUUCGGAUCGUAAAACUCUGUUAUUAGGGAAGAACAAAUGUGUAAGUAACUAUGCACGUCUUGACGGUACCUAAUCAGAAAGCCACGGCUAACUACGUG